rnacentral:rRNA from 1 species
GAUGAACGCUGGCGGCGUGCCUAAUACAUGCAAGUCGAGCGAACGGACGAGAAGCUUGCUUCUCUGAUGUUAGCGGCGGACGGGUGAGUAACACGUGGAUAACCUACCUAUAAGACUGGGAUAACUUCGGGAAACCGGAGCUAAUACCGGAUGAUAUUUUGAACCGCAUGGUUCAAAAGUGAAAGACGGUCUUGCUGUCACUUAUAGAUGGAUCCGCGCUGCAUUAGCUAGUUGGUAAGGUAACGGCUUACCAAGGCAACGAUGCAUAGCCGACCUGAGAGGGUGAUCGGCCACACUGGAACUGAGACACGGUCCAGACUCCUACGGGAGGCAGCAGUAGGGAAUCUUCCGCAAUGGGCGAAAGCCUGACGGAGCAACGCCGCGUGAGUGAUGAAGGUCGUCGGAUCGUAAAACUCUGUUAUUAGGGAAGAACAUAUGUGUAAGUAACUGUGCACAUCUUGACGGUACCUAAGCAGAAAGCCACGGCUAACUACGUG